rnacentral:rRNA from 1 species
CUACGGAGGAUGCGAGCGUUAUCCGGAUUUAUUAGGUUUAAAGGGUGUGUAGGCGGUAUUUUAAGUCAGUGGUGAAAUCUCGGAGCUUAACUUCGAAACUGCCAUUGAUACUGGAAUACUUGAGUAUAGUUGAGGUAGGCGGAAUAUGUAAUGUAGCGGUGAAAUGCAUAGAUAUUACAUAGAACACCGAUUGCGAAGGCAGCUUACUAAACUAUUACUGACGCUGAUGCACGAAAGCGUGGGGAGCGAACAGGAUUAGAUACCCCAGUAGUCC